rnacentral:rRNA from 1 species
AUUGAACGCUGGCGGCAUGCUUUACACAUGCAAGUCGAACGGCAGCGCGGGCUUCGGCCUGGCGGCGAGUGGCGAACGGGUGAGUAAUACAUCGGAACGUGCCCAGUAGUGGGGGAUAGCUCGGCGAAAGCCGGAUUAAUACCGCAUACGACCUGAGGGUGAAAGCGGGGGAUCUUCGGACCUCGCGCUAUUGGAGCGGCCGAUGGCAGAUUAGCUAGUUGGUGGGGUAAAGGCCUACCAAGGCGACGAUCUGUAGCUGGUCUGAGAGGACGACCAGCCACACUGGGACUGAGACACGGCCCAGACUCCUACGGGAGGCAGCAGUGGGGAAUUUUGGACAAUGGGCGAAAGCCUGAUCCAGCAAUGCCGCGUGUGUGAUGAAGGCCUUCGGGUUGUAAAGCACUUUUGGCGGGAACGAAAAGGACUGUGCCAAUACCACGGUUCGAGGACGGUACCCGCAGAAUAAACACCGGCUAACUACGU